ACGCACGCUGGCGGCGUGCUUAACACAUGCCCGUCGCACGGAAAGGCCCUGCUUGCAGGGUACUCGAGUGGCGAACGGGUGAGUAACACGUGGGUGAUCUGCCCUGCACUUCGGGAUAAGCCUGGGAAACUGGGUCUAAUACCGGAUAGGAGCCAUUUUUAGUGUGAUGGUUGGAAAGUUUUUUCGGUGUAGGAUGAGCUCGCGGCCUAUCAGCUUGUUGGUGGGGUAAUGGCCUACCAAGGCGGCGACGGGUAGCCGGCCUGAGAGGGUGGACGGCCACAUUGGGACUGAGAUACGGCCCAGACUCCUACGGGAGGCAGCAGUGGGGAAUAUUGCACAAUGGGCGCAAGCCUGAUGCAGCGACGCCGCGUGGGGGAUGACGGCCUUCGGGUUGUAAACUCCUUUCGCUAGGGACGAAGCUUUUUGUGACGGUACCUAGAGAAGAAGCACCGGCUAACUACGUG
rnacentral:rRNA from 1 species